GGACUAUUCCCAAGAGGGAAAAUUUGAGGGCAGUAGAAGAAACUUAUACAAAUGUUUGUAGUUUCUUGAAGCCUUUAGCACUAGAGAGGCAUUGAUGAAAAGUUUCGCCUGAUAUUUUUUUCUCCAUUUCAAAGGCUGCUGGUCCUUGUGAGGAUAUACUUGAAGAGCACAUUCAACUAACCUCUCUCUUUUGAAGUUGGCUCCUAUUCAAUGCUCCUAUUGCUUGGACAAGAUUAUGCCUUCAGCAGGAAAACAACAGGAGUCUCCAUCUCGAGAUUAUUACUGCUUAUCCGAUGAUGUCCCAGACUCUCAUGAAGAAUAUGUCCCAUCAGCUACUUGGGGCAAUCUAUCUGAACAAUGUCUACAUAUCUGGCAGAAGUAAAAGGAUACACUUAAAUUUGAAGCUUUCCACCAAUUAUUCUCCAGCUGCUGUGACUUAUCAAAAAGCACUUCAGCAGAAUGCUAAGCAAGAUAAAGAAACCAAAGUGAAUUCAAGCCUGCAG